rnacentral:lncRNA from 10 species
AGCAUGUAAAGUCAGUGACAUGCCCAUGCGAGUACCUGAGGAAGGUUGAUGGACGGAUGGCUACAUGGAUGUGAUGGAGAUGGUUUACUAUCGGGACCUUCCGCACCCUGCUGAUGUUUUGUUGCUUAGGAUAUGAAUGGCUGAGCGGAGGCUGUAAAACCUGGCACUCUGCUUGGGUAUGAGGUUCUUCCUGCCAUCCUGCCAUCAUUUGUUUUUUAUGUUUUGUCGCCAUAAGUGACCUUGAGGAACCCUGGGAGCUCAGGAAGGAAGGAGCGCCCAGAAGCAGGGACAGGGAGCUGGUUGGGGAGGACCAGAAAUCAGGUUAUCAAUACUCUGGCUGACCAUCAUCAUCGUGGGACUGACUUUGGUGGAAGUCCUUGGUUACAUGUCAUUAUUGCGUUUCCGACAAGUUAUAAAGUUGUCAUUACCCUCUGGAUAGUUUACCUUUGGGUGUCUCUCCUGAAGACUAUCUUCUGGUCUCGAAAUGGACAUGAUGGAUCCACGGAUGUACAGCAGAGAGCCUGGAGGUCCAACCGCCGUAGACAGGAAGGGCUGAGGUCCAUUUGUAUGCACACAAAGAAAAGAGUUUCUUCCUUUCGAGGAAAUAAAAUUGGCCUGAAAGACGUCAUUACUCUACGGAGACAUGUGGAAACAAAAGUUAGAGCUAAAAUCCGUAAGAGGAAGGUGACAACGAAAAUCAACCAUCAUGACAAAAUCAAUGGAAAGAGGAAGACCGCCAGAAAACAGAAAAUGUUUCAACGUGCGCAAGAGUUGCGGCGGCGGGCAGAGGACUACCACAAAUGCAAAAUCCCCCCUUCUGCAAGAAAGGC